rnacentral:lncRNA from 1 species
AGUGGCUCACGCCUGUAAUCCCAGCACUUUGGGAGGCCGAGGAGAGUGGAUCAUUUGAGGUCAGGAGUUCGAGAUCAGCCUGGAAAACACAGUGAAACCCCGUCUCUACUAAAAAUACAAAAAUUAGACGGGCAUGGUGACAUGUGCCUGUAGUCCCAGCUAUUUGAGAGACUGAGGCAGGAGAAUGGCUUGAACCUAGGAGGAGGUUGCAGUGAGCCGAGAUCAGGCCACUGCACUCCAGCCUGGGCAACAGGGCAAGACUCCAUCUCAAAAAAAAAAAAAAGAAAGAAAAGAAAGAAAGAAAGUGACAUUUCCUAAGCAUUCAAGUUAAUCAUAAUCUUGAACAUACAUUUUCUUCUGUCAGUUGAAACCUUCCAAUUAUUAUUAAAACUAAUGGCAAAAACCACAA